rnacentral:lncRNA from 1 species
CUCUAGAUGUGGUCAAGUGAUCACAGAUAUCCCCACCUAUUAUAGCAACUGAGAGGUCAGAAUUUCAAUUCACUUUUUUUCCGUGGGGUUUUGGUUGUUAAGGCUGGAAAUUGUUUGAUAAGCCACGGUUUUCCUAUAUUUAAAAGAAAAGCAUUCAGAUGUUUGUAAAAGAGAGUCGAAAAAUACCAAAGGGGCAAUGAAGCUCAUACCUUGAAAGUAAACUAACAACGACAUGGCAAAAAAACCGAAAAAGAACAAAAGAC